CUGUCGCGUCUGCUGUGAAAACCCGAGGCUCAACCUCGGGCCUGCAGUGGGUACGGGCAGACUAGAGUGCGGUAGGGGAGAAUGGAAUUCCUGGUGUAGCGGUGGAAUGCGCAGAUAUCAGGAGGAACACCGAUGGCGAAGGCAGUUCUCUGGGCCGUAACUGACGCUGAGGAGCGAAAGCGUGGGGAGCGAACAGGGUUAGAUACCCUGGUGGUCCACGCCGUAAACGUUGGGCGCUAGAUGUGGGGAUCAUUCCACGGUUUCCGUGUCGCAGCUAACGCAUUAAGCGCCCCGCCUGGGGAGUACGGCCGCAAGGCUAAAACUCAAAGGAAUUGACGGGGGCCCGCACAAGCGGCGGAGCAUGCGGAUUAAUCCGAUGCAACGCGAAGAACCUUACCAAGGCUUGACAUACACGAGAACGCCCUAGAAAUAGGGAACUCUUUGGACACUCGUGAACAGGUGGUGCAUGGUUAUCGUCAGCUCGUGUCGUGAGAUGUUGGGUUAAGUCCCGCAACGAGCGCAACCCUCGUUCUAUGUUGCCAGCGCGUAAUGGCGGGAACUCAUAGGAGACUGCCGGGGUCAACUCGGAGGAAGGUGGGGAUGACGUCAAAUCAUCAUGCCCCUUAUGUCUUGGGCUUCACGCAUGCUACAAUGGCCGGUACAAAGGGCUGCAAUACCGUAGGUGGAGCGAAUCCCAAAAAGCCGGUCUCAGUUCGGAUUGAGGUCUGCAACUCGACCUCAUGAAGUCGGAGUCGCUAGUAAUCGCAGAUCAGCAACGCUGCGGUGAAUACGUUCCCGGGCCUUG
rnacentral:rRNA from 1 species